UUAGGCAAAUCCGGUACUCGUUAAGGCUGAGCUGUGAUGGGGAGAAGACAUUGUGUCUUCGAGUCGUUGAUUUCACACUGCCGAGAAAAGCCUCUAGAUAGAAAAUAGGUGCCCGUACCGCAAACCGACACAGGUAGUCAAGAUGAGAAUUCUAAGGUGAGCGAGCGAACUCUCGUUAAGGAACUCGGCAAAAUGACCCCGUAACUUCGGGAGAAGGGGUGCUCUUUAGGGUUAACGCCCAGAAGAGCCGCAGUGAAUAGGCCCAAGCGACUGUUUAUCAAAAACACAGGUCUCUGCUAAACCGUAAGGUGAUGUAUAGGGGCUGACGCCUGCCCGGUGCUGGAAGGUU
rnacentral:rRNA from 1 species